UUCCCUUUGUCAUCCUAUGCCUGGAUUAAUACAAAAGGGGCUGGGAAGGCAAAGGGACGGC
ensembl:miRNA MIR204 microRNA 204